GACGUAGGGGGCAAGCGUUGUUCGGAAUUAUUGGGCGUAAAGCGCUCGUAGGCGGGACUGGAAGUCCGUGUUGAAAGACCUCGGCUCAACUGAGGGACCGGCUCGGAUACUCUAGUUCUUGAGGCGAUCAGAGGGUGAUGGAAUUCCCGGUGUAGCGGUGAAAUGCGCAGAUAUCAGGAGGAACACCGAUGGCGAAGGCAGGUCUCUGGGCUGUAACUGACGCUGAGGAGCGAAAGCAUGGGGAGCGAACAGG
rnacentral:rRNA from 1 species